CUGCCAGUAGUCAUAUGCUUGUCUCAAAGAUUAAGCCAUGCAUGUCUAAGUAUAAACAACUUUAUACUGUGAAACUGCGAACGGCUCAUUAUAUCAGCAAUAAUUUAUUUGAUGGUUCCUUACUACACGGAUAACUGUAGUAAUUCUAGAGCUAAUACGUGCGUAAAAUCCCGACUCUUGCGGGGAGGGAUGUAUUUAUUAGAUAAAAAGCCAGCGCAGGUUCUGCCCGGUUUUGUGGUGAAUCAUAGUAACUUUUCGAAUCGCAUGGCUUCACGCCGGCGAUAGUUCAUUCAAAUUUCUGCCCUAUCAGCUUUCGACGGUAGUGUAGUGGACUACCGUGGCAUUAACGGGUAACGGAGAAUUAGGGUUCGAUUCCGGAGAGGGAGCCUGAGAAACGGCUACCACAUCCAAGGAAGGCAGCAGGCGCGCAAAUUACCCAAUUCUGACACAGAGAGGUAGUGACAAAAAAUAACAAUACCUGGCUUCUUUAGGUCGGGUAAUUGCAAUGAGUACAAUUUAAAUCCCUUAACGAGGAUCAACU
rnacentral:rRNA from 1 species